CCAGACUCCUACGGGAGGCAGCAGUGGGGAAUAUUGGACAAUGGGGGCAACCCUGAUCCAGCAAUUCUGUGUGCACGAAGAAGGUUUUCGGAUUGUAAAGUGCUUUCAGCAGGGAAGAAGAAAAUGACUGUACCUGCAGAAGAAGCGACGGCUAAAUACGUGCCAGCAGCCGCGGUAAUACGUAUGUCGCAAGCGUUAUCCGGAAUUAUUGGGCAUAAAGGGCAUCUAGGCGGCCAGAUAAGUCUGGGGUGAAAACUUGCGGCUCAACCGCAAGCCUGCCCUGGAAACUAUAGGGCUGGAGUACUGGAGAGGUGGACGGAACUACACGAGUAGAGGUGAAAUUCGUAGAUAUGUGUAGGAAUGCCGAUGAUGAAGAUAGUUCACUGGACGGUAACUGACGCUGAAGUGCGAAAGCUGGGGGAGCAAACAGGAUUAGAUACCCUGGUAGUCCCAGCCGUAAACGAUGAUUACUGGGUGUGGGCAUGAAGAGUGUCCGUGCCGAAGCAAAUGCGAUAAGUAAUCCGCCUGGGGAGUACGGCCGCAAGGCUGAAACUCAAAGGAAUUGACGGGGGCCCGCACAAG
rnacentral:rRNA from 1 species